UCUGGAAAGGCGCGCGAUACAGGGUGACAGCCCCGUACACAAAAAUGCACAUGCUGUGAGCUCGAUGAGUAGGGCGGGACACGUGGUAUCCUGUCUGAAUAUGGGGGGACCAUCCUCCAAGGCUAAAUACUCCUGACUGACCGAUAGUGAACCAGUACCGUGAGGGAAAGGCGAAAAGAACCCCGGCGAGGGGAGUGAAAAAGAACCUGAAACCGUGUAC
rnacentral:rRNA from 1 species